rnacentral:lncRNA from 1 species
UUCCUGUGCACCGGGUCCAUACACCUUUCCCUAAGGUACCCAAUAAGCUUUUUAUACACAUGUCUAGAUCAUCAACUAGUCAACAAUUACAUACCAACAUUUCAUAAUUAUAUAUCGAUAGUAAGGCAUGCAAAUAGGCAAUACGAAAAUAAAAAAAAAAAAUAUGAUUAGGGUAUUUACUUCGAAUCAGUCAAUAAGUGAGAAUAACAGUCAAACAAUCAAUGAACGAGAAAGUGAUUAA